UAUAAACACACCCAUUGUAUACUAAUUCCUCUUUUUAAACUCAUCUCUCUGAAGCCAGGGCAAAGAAAGCAGCAGAGAAGGAAGCCAAAGCAAAGAAGCAGAAAGCUCCUAAACCCACCAAAAAGCCAAAAGGCCCCAAACCCACCAAGAAACCCAAAGCGCCAAAACCCACAAAGAAGCCGAAAGCGCCCAAAGCGCCCAAAGCGCCCAAAGCCACCAAGAAACCAAAGGCGACCACCACAGUGCAGCCCAAAACCAAGCGUCCGUCUAUGGACAAGGAAGAGGAGCGGCUGCUGAUUGAACUGGGCUGGGACAGACUGAUUCCACCUGUGACCCCGAAUGGGCCUGGAUGGGAAGAGCCCGUCGAGCCAGGACUCGGUGAGGUGCCCAGGGGACGCCCUGAUACCAAAAAAACCACGACUACUGAGGUCAUCAUGUAUAUACCAGAGGAAGCCACCACCGUCCCGUAUAUCGGCGCCUGGUAUGAAGAGUAUGAUUACGCCGACUGUACGUCCAUCAUCCAUCAUUAA
rnacentral:lncRNA from 1 species